rnacentral:tRNA from 1 species
GCUCUGGUGGCACAAAGAUUAAGCGCUCGGCUGCUAACCAAAAGGUUGGUGGUUUGAACCCACCCAGGGGCU